rnacentral:rRNA from 1 species
GUGCCAGCAGCCGCGGUAAUACGAAGGGGGCUAGCGUUGUUCGGAAUUACUGGGCGUAAAGCGUAUGUAGGCGGAUCUUUAAGUCAGGGGUGAAAUCCCGAGGCUCAACCUCGGAACUGCCUUUGAUACUGGGGAUCUUGAGUCCGGGAGAGGUGAGUGGAACUGCGAGUGUAGAGGUGAAAUUCGUAGAUAUUCGCAAGAACACCAGUGGCGAAGGCGGCUCACUGGCCCGGUACUGACGCUGAAAUACGAAAGCGUGGGGAGCAAACAGGAUUAGAAACCCCUGUAGUCC